AAUCAGACUGCAACUUCAGAAGACAGAAAAGCUGUGCUGCCCAGUAACCCCAACUUUUCCUCCAGGGAGAGGACACCCUGACCUCACACAGCCCACACAGGGAGCAAGUGUCCAUGAAAGGCAGCACAAAUACUCCCAUUGACUUCAGCAUGUGAGUGUACAGGCCCUAGAUAUGGAGAAAACUGUAACUUGAAAGCAGACAUUUAUCAAGAUAAAGAGUCAAUAUGUCUUAUGAUGUAGAGCAUGCUGCAGAGGAUGAACAGCUCUGCUCUGAUCAC